rnacentral:rRNA from 1 species
GAUGAACGCUGGCGGCGUGCCUAAUACAUGCAAGUCGAGCGAACGGACGAGAAACUUGCUUCUCUGAUGUUAGCGGCUGACGGGUGAGUAAAACGUGGAUAACCUACCUAUAAGACUGGGAUAACUUCGGGAAACCGGAGCUAAUACCGGAUGAUAUUUUGAACCUCAUGGUUCAAAAAUGAAAGUCGGUCUUGCUGUCACUUAUAGAUGGAUCCGCGCUGCAUUAGCUAGUUGGUAAGGUAACGGCUUACCAAGGCAACGAUGCAUAGCGGACCUGACAGGAUGAUCGGCCACACGGGAACUGAGACACGGUCCAGACUCCUACGGUAGGCAGCAGUAGGGAAUCUUCCGCGAUGGGCGAAAGCCGGACGUAGCAACGCGGCGUGAGUGAUGAAGGUCUUCGGAUCGUAAAGCUAUGUUAUUAGGGAAGAACAUAUGUGUAAGUAACUGUGAACAUAUUGACGGUACCUAAUCAGAAAGCCACGGCUAACUACGUG